CCUACGGGAGGCAGCAGUAGGGAAUCUUCCACAAUGGACGAAAGUCUGAUGGAGCAACGCCGCGUGAGUGAAGAAGGGUUUCGGCUCGUAAAGCUCUGUUGGUGGUGAGGAAGGAUGUAGGUAGUAACUGGCCUUUAUUUGACGGUAAUUGCUUAGAAAGUCACGGCUAACUACGUGCCAGCAGCCGCGGUAAUACGUAGGUUGCAAGCGUUGUCCGGAUUUAUUGGGCGUAAAGCGCGCGCAGGCGGUUUAAUAAGUCUGAUGUGAAAGCCUUGGGCUCAACCGGAGAAUUGCAUCAGAAACUGUUGAACUUGAGUGUAGAAGAGGAGAGUGGAACUCCAGGUGUAGCGGUGGAAUGCGUAGAUAUAUGGAAGAACACCAGUGGCGAAGGCGGCUCUCUGGUCUGCAACUGACGCUGAGGUUCGAAAGCAUGGGUAGCGAACAGGAUUAGAUACCCGAGUAGUC
rnacentral:rRNA from 1 species